AGCGUGGAGACAGGUGGUGCAUGGCUGUCGUCAGCUCGUGUCGUGAGAUGUUGGGUUAAGUCCCGCAACGAGCGCAACCCUCACCCCUUGUUGCCAUCAGGUCAAGCUGGGCACUCUAGGGGAACUGCCCCGGUCAACGGGGAGGAAGGCGGGGAUGACGUCAAGUCAUCAUGCCCCUUACGUCCUGGGCUACACACGUGCUACAAUGGCCGGUACAAAGGGAUGCCACACCGUGAGGUAGAGCUAAACCCAAAAAGCCGGUCUAAGUUCAGAUUGGAGUCUGCAACUCGACUCCAUGAAGGAGGAAUCGCUAGUAAUCGCGUAUCAGCACGACGCGGUGAAUACGCUCCCGGGCCUUGUACACACCGCCCGUCACACCACGAAAGCCAGCUGUACUCGAAGUCGCUGAG
rnacentral:rRNA from 1 species